CAGGGAGCGGAAAAACUUUAGCUCUUCUAAAUAUGGGCAUCAAUGCCCAUAUAAGACAAUGCAUACGAAGGACACUAUCCGUGGGGAAUAUGUUUGAUAUGAGAAAUGGUGUUGAUAGGAAUUGCUCGGGUUUUGGUUGCACCAACUGGUCAGUCCCUUUUGUUAUGUUUUUUCUUUAAUAUUUGAAAAGGGAGUAGGAAAAGAAAUUGGAUCAGUUAGGUCACAGGUGUGACUUUUAUUAUCAUUUAUACUGCUAUUAGGGAUUAGAUGUCGAGGAUGGGAGCACUUCGCAUGAAGACUGGCUUAUGCAUGGGUUAUAGGACAACUUUACUCCAAAGUGAUGUCUAAUGCUUGUUAGUGCCGAAUAGUGGGAAAAAACGCGCCGCUGGGGUUACCGUUUCUCAUUUACCAGGUGGCGGUUACACAGGGCGUCGUUUAAAAGGUCGUAAGCGCGUAUGCACAAAGCUCGCUGGCGGAGCGAAACCAAGACAAAUACAUCCAGUUUAAGUAGGAAUAAGCAGUUUAUUUGGCACUAAUAACAAGCAUUAGACAUCACUUUGGAGUAAAGUUGUCCUAUAACCCGUGCAUAGUGUUAUUAUUAAGAUCCAUACCAGUAAAAUACAAGCUAGAGGCUUGUGCAGCAAGAGCAAGGGGUUGAGAGGAUCAGGCCCUGUGAAGUCUGUAGUAUUCGUUAUACCUGUGUAGCGCCCGCAUUGCAUGUUGGGGUACGUGUUUGUAACUAAGUUGAGUGAGUCGCCAUCUUGAAUAAAACGUUGAGUUUGUACACUCGGUUUUCACUCUCACUACAAGCGGAUACUACAAAGUAUUUUUUGUUUGUGGACUUCAAGCACACAUGACCCCCUCUCCCUCUUGCCUUUUUCAGCCCUGUACGCUUGCUGUGAACACAGAUCACUUGGCUUUUAUAUUGUGCUCUCUUCUAAUUUGGGGUUUAGUGAGCACGAAAGAUAGCAGAGAAACAACCAACUAAUCAACCAAGACUGUGCUUCCACAAAUUGACUGCAACAUUUUCUACGCUACAGUGGAUAGGCUGUCUGCUAUACACAGACAUGAAAAUCUCCCCUUAAGUACAGGCUAGUCAAGAGGUCCUCUUAGCUGCGUGUGGCACUUCCUCCAUGAAGUUGCAGCCAAAGAAGCAUGAAAAAAAUAAUGUAACACAAGAGCGCAAAAAUAGAUUCUUGCUUGGAUUAAUUCAUUGACUCCUGGCUAUUUUUGAGAUGACACAAAAAGACAGACUAAGCCCCCCUCUAUUUUGAGUUUUUUUUUACAGCCCGUCAAAGUAAAAACACCGCUGCACCUAGUCAGCGGUAUCCAAGCUUUCCAACAGUGCUUUGCGGUUCUAUCUCUAAUCCCUCGUCUCUGAUGCGCCCACAAGUUGGUGGUUGCUUGUAUUUUUCAUAAAAAAAUACACAACUAAUAGCAUAUUGAGAGAAUGCCCUAGGGCUAGUCUAUUAGAGCAUAAUUGGGUGCUGUACUUAUGGAUAUUUGCAAGCGAAGGAGGAUGCAUGGUGAUUUUUUCUUGUUGGUUGUUUGGCUUUGCCUGGAUGAGAAAAUAUUUUCUGAUGAAUCACCAGCUCUCCAAAAUGCUGUCUUUUCUGAAACUAGAUGAUUUUAAAAUUGUUUACACUGCUAUUCUAGGUCUGUAUGACCUGGAAUUGAUUUGUUUAGCUUUGGGAUGGAAAGACUUGUAAAAAACCGUCCGACUUUGGGGAGAGGAGUGUUGACUGGCCCUCCCCUCGUGGAUUUCUUCACGGAUCUCCCAGAAUGCUUUGCAAUCUGUAAUGGCAGCAAUAAAUGGUCUCAAAAGCCUUCACGAACGGAGAGGAAAUUGUGUUUUGAGGCCACAGAAAUGGACCUGGAGGUUCAGAAUAAAGUUUAGCGCACAGUCCUCAUGUACCUUGUGACCACACGGAAACACCAGACAUCCAGAAAACACUUCCUGCAAAUGCAUCAUGUAAACCAUUUCACUCAAGAGCAGAAAGCAGUGCGGCACUGGCAGGUUUUGCAAGUCGGGAUGGUCAUGUAAAAAAAUCGACCUGGACUUACAUGAAAGUAAUUGAAAUUGUAAAGUUUAACAAUUUUGGCAGUGGUUUGAGCAUAUUCAUCCCAUCCCUGCACCCAUCCCCAGCUUUCUAUGCAUGAACCCCUUUGACUAAAAUUUCAUUUUAAACGAUAAAAGUGAAAUACUCCUUUCACCAUAUCUUGUUGUUGGUGCACCCUUUCAAGAACUUCUGGCCUGCCACUGUAAGUUUUAGAUUGUUUCAUUUUUCAGGAUCAAAUUGACAGCCUGGGGAGGGUCAACCCAGUGCUCUAAUGAAGCAGCCAAUCCUGAAAGAGCGCUGAUAAAAGGCACGAUUAAGUUGAUCACUAGAUUAGACUCAACUUGACUAAAAUUUUAGCCUGAAAUCCAUGCAUCAACCAAGUGUUUUUAUAGCAGUGUUUUUUAUCUCUCAAAUUCCAAGAUGAUGGCUACAAACCCCUUGAGGUCAGUUUUUUCCUAUAAAAACACCUGGUAAACGCAGGUAGAUUGUUUAUUAUUUUUAAGGAUUAAACUUAUAUGUACCUGUAGACAAACUGCACAUUCAUCACUUUGGCUGUCAGCAAUGCAUUUAUGUUUGUUUAACAGUUUUUUGUCCAUACACAAAUUGCAGCCAUCGCAGUGAUAGUACUCGCUUUUGUAAGCUCUGUAAUAAUAAUAAAUUUGUUAUAACCUUGAAUAAACACAUUUGCGGGGCA